rnacentral:rRNA from 1 species
UACGAAGGGGGCUAGCGUUGCUCGGAAUCACUGGGCGUAAAGCGCACGUAGGCGGAUCUUUAAGUCAGGGGUGAAAUCCUGGAGCUCAACUCCAGAACUGCCUUUGAUACUGGGGAUCUCGAGUCCGGAAGAGGUGAGUGGAACUCCGGAGUGUAGAGGUGAAAUUCGUAGAUAUUCGGAAGAACACCAGUGGCGAAGGCGGCUCACUGGUCCGGUACUGACGCUGAGGUGCGAAAGCGUGGGGGAGCAAACAGG